UUUAUGAUUUCCCAAGUGGCUAUAAUGCAGCAUUCUUUUGGUCAGGGCGCAGUCAGUAGCACCUCUGUCCUUUAUGUUUUUUACGUUUUGUUAAAGCAGACGGAAAGACAAAUUCUCCUGAGCUGGGCGAAUUGUGUGCGUUAAUAUGGAUGGAAAGCUCGACGUCACGCUAGUACGAAGCGUCUUUAGAUUUUCACAUCAGCUAAGAGUGCAAGGGUCAAAAUUCACUGAGGACCUUAGUUUAUUCUUCUCUAAUUUGUCAAGUUUUAGCUCUGUCGGUCUUACCCGUAGGCUACAUCCAAAAGAUACGACACGAGAUCCUGGUUAACCGACGAAUCUGCGAGAUUGUUUUGGAUCAUUCCAUUGAAGCGGUGAUGGACUGGAAAAGAAAAGCAACAAGUGUAUUCCAAUGAGGCUGCGUGUGACCCUGGACACGUUUUCCAUGCUAUUCAUCAAAUGGACAGUCUACAGACAAUUGAGAAGGAACAUGACAAGAAACAGGUCAUCUUCCAGCGGGCCUCCGGAAUCAUACUGUCACAUGACACGAGAGGACAGAGUUUUUCUAAACCCCCAGAAAGGACCAUAACUGAUGAAAGCCGUCCAGAAAAUGCAGAUAACGAACAACAAUAACGCCUGUCUCACAACGUCGCGGAAUUAUUUGCAACAAUCUCGUUGUGCAUUUGAACGUAAUGACAAAAUCCAUCACAACACCAUACACUUUGGGUAAGAGACCGCUAAAGACGAACUUGCACAGUGAGAUGGAAUACAGAACAAGAUAAAGAGGACGUAUAAACGAGAGAGAAAAAAAAAUGUAGUUACACCAUCCUCAAUCAAGACAGAAACACGCCAGUGUUCCUUGCUGCAAACUACCGGAGAUAACUUUAGGAAUCAACAAGUUCUAACUGUAUUACCAACCCAUAUUUUAUUGGAUGACAGAAUUCAAGCACACGACAAAGAGGAGCGCGGCAUUUGGUGCCCAGGAGUGACAAGAAAACCCCGCUGGGAGUCAUUGCCUCAAAAAGAGCACAUACUGCUGCUAUAGCCUACAAGUGACCAGCUGUAGAGCAUGAGA